rnacentral:rRNA from 1 species
CCUACGGGAGGCAGCAGUGGGGAAUAUUGCACAAUGGGCGAAACCCUGAUCCAGCGACGCCGCGUGAGUGAAGAAGUCUUUCGGUAUGUAAAGCUCUAUCAGCAGGGAAGCAGAAAGACGGUACCUGACUACGCCGCCCCGGCUAACUACGUGCCAGCAGCCUCGGUAAUACGUAGGGGGCAAGCGGUAUCCGGGUUUACUGGGUGUAAAGGGAGCGUAGACGGCUGUGCAAGUCUGAAGGGAAAGCCCAGGGCUCAACCCCGGGACUGCUUUGGAAACUGUGGAGCUAGAGUGCGGGAGAGGUAAGUGGAAUUCCUAGUGUAGCGGUGAAAUGCGUAGAUAUUAGGAGGAACACCAGUGGCGAAGGCGGCUUACUGGACAGUAACUGACGUUGAGGCUCGAAAGCGUGGGGAGCAAACAGGAUUAGAUACCCGAGUAGUC